rnacentral:rRNA from 1 species
UUCAGAGGAACCUGUCCUAUAAUUGAUAAUCCACGAUUUAAAUCACUUAUUUUAGUAGUUUGCAUAUCGCCGUAGUUUGAAUAUUUUAUAAGAAUAAUAAUAUUCAAGAUUUUUUAUAAGAAAAUAAAUUAGGUCAAGAUGUAGCUUAUAGAUAAGAAGAGAUGGGUUACAAUAAAAUAAUUUAAGCGGAUUAAUUUAUUAAAAUUUUUAUGAAGAUGGAUUUGAGAGUAAUUUUAAUUACUUAAUUAAAAUGAUUUUAGCUCUAAAAUAUGUACAUAUCGCCCGUCACUUUCACUAUAAAGUGAAAUAAGUCGUAACAUAGUAGAUGUACUGGAAAGUGUAUCUAGAACGUCAAAUUAGAGCUUGUUAAAAGCAUUUUAUUUACAUUAAAAAGUUUAUUGUGAAAAUCAAUAUGAUUUGAAUUAUUAUUAUUAUUAUAUAUAUAUAUAUAUAUAUAUAUAUAUAUAUGUUUUUAUUUAUUUAAAGAAAAUAAUCUAUUGUUUUAUUAUAUUUUAUGAAAUAAUUUAUUUUAUUAUAGAGAAUUAGUAUUGUUAAAGAAAUGGUUGAAAUUAAGAAAAAAACAGUUAAAUUUUGGUACCUUGUGCAUCAGGGUUUAUUAAAUAAAUAUUAAAAAUUUAAUUUUCUCGAAUUUAAAAGAGCUAUAAAGUUAUAAUUUUUAUUGUGUAAUAAAUAUUAUUAAUAACUUUAUUGUAAUGAAACGUUAUUCGUUUUUAUAUAUAUCUAGUUUUUUAAGAAAAAAAUUUAAUUUUUUUAGUAAAAAUAUUUUUUUUAAAUAUUUAAGAUGAUAUUAUUAUUAAACAAUAUUUUUAGGGAUGAGCUUAAAAAUAAAUUUUUAAAAAUAAAUAUAAAUUAUUAAAUAAAUAGGAUUAUAAAUUUUCAUUUUUUAUAGUAUGUUAUAAUUAAUUUAAUUAAAAAUAAAAUUUAAAUUUAUUUUAAAUUUUUUAUUAAAAUAUUUAUUUUAAUUAAAAAAAUAAGGUAAUAAUGAUAAAAUUAGUAUGAUUUUUUGUAUUUUUAUAAAUAUUUGAGGUUAAAUAAAGGAAUUCGGCAAAUAAAUUUUCACCUGUUAUAAAAAACAUGGCCUUUUGAUUAUAAUUUAAGGUCUCACCUGCCCAAUGAAAUAAAUUGAAUGGCCGCGGUAUUUUGACCGUGCAAAGGUAGCAUAAUCAUUUGUUUUUUAAUUGAAAGCUAGAAUGAAGGGUUGAAUGAGAAAAUUACUGUCUCUAUUUAAAUUAAUUAUAAUUUUAUUUUUAAGUUAAAAAGCUUAAUUAAUUUUUGAAGACGAGAAGACCCUAUAGAGUUUGAUAAUUUAAUAAUUUAAAUAAUUAGGUAAUUAUAUUAUUUAAUUUUGAUAAUUAUUUGAUUGGGGUGAUUAAAAAAUUAAAUAAACUUUUUUUUUAUUUUUACAUAAAUUAAUGAGUAAUUGAUCCUUUUUAUAAGAUUAAAAGAUUAAAUUACCUUAGGGAUAACAGCGUAAUUUUUUUUUAGAGUUCAAAUCAAAAAAAAAGAUUGCGACCUCGAUGUUGGAUUAAAAUUAAUAUUUGGUGUAGCAGCUAAGUGGUUAGGUCUGUUCGACCUUUAAAAUUUUACUUGAUCUGUUCAAACCGGUGUAAGCCAGGUUGGUUUCUAUCUCGAAAAUAUUAGAAUAUUUUAGUACGAAAGGACCAAAUAUUUGAUUAAUAAUUUUUUAUACGAAUAAUAAUAGUUAUUUUGGCAGAAUAGUGCAAUAGAUUUAGAAUCUUUAUAAGUAAUUUUUUUACAAAUAAUACUUGAUAUUCAAGGAUUUAGUUAUAAUAUUAAUUUCAAUAGUAAUUUUAGCUUUUUGUGUAAUAAUUGGAGUGGCCUUUCUAACCUUAUUAGAGCGAAAGGUCUUAGGAUAUAUUCAAAUUC